CAUGGAAGAACUGCUUCCUAUGUACAGUGGAAAAGUUUACCAAAUGACAAGCUGUCGUGUGGGGACGUCUCAACAACAUUCUAGUUUGUUUCCUCAGAUCAAAAAGCAGAGACCCAAGCUCAGCAUUUCUGUCUGUGCUGUGGGUCAUCUUCGCCGUUCCCUGGAGUAAUCAUAUGCUGCAUCCAUGAAGCAACUGUCUAACACCUGAAUGUUCUCAGUACAAAGACCAGUGGGGUCAUAUGACAAGGCUAUAUUUAGAGAAGGACUCUGUUUUCUGUUUUGCUCAGCCCUCACCAUUUUCUGCUCCAAAGAGGAGUUUCAAAUGCACAUUGAUCUUUUUCAUUUAGUGAAUGAACUGAAUUAGCACCUGUUUUCAACUGCCAAAAAAUGCACUUUUAUUUUUUUUUAAAUGGGGAAAGAGAAGUCUGUGUGCUGUUAAGUCAACAUGGGAGGAACAAGAGAAAGAGGAUUCUCCCUUUUGGCAGAAACCUACAGUCACUUGGGCUGUAACUGGGAUAUCCCGGGGAAGAGGUCAGGUCCUGGCGGAUGUAUCAGCGCCCAUGCAGAAAAACACCAAAAUGUGUUGCUAAACCAGGGGAGGAAGCCCCUCCCUCCAAGGGCAGUUGGAGAUAUGAUAGAGCACUUGCCAGGCAUGCGUACCCUGCUUCAAAACCAGCACCAGGGCCUUGGGGGCAGGGGUUGAAGAGGUUCAACUAUGAAGGUGUAAAGCCUUCACCCACAAAAAGAGGUGCCAAAGGCGGUGCUAAAAGACAAGGAUGACUUCGCAUUUAGAGAUGGUGACACUCUUGGGACGUACAUAGACUAAAACUAAUGACUGCUGAAGCUGCCGUCGAUGCAGUUCUGAAAGCGCUCAGCACGUACAUGAUCCCCAGGCCUCUCUUUUAGAACCCACUGAUAUCUAAUCUAAU